UGUUUAUGAAAAUAUUCAAAACAUACUUCCUCUACCGAAGACAUACAUCAAGAUUCCUGCAAAGCUGAAGAGAAAAUGUGGAGAUGAGGAUCCUUCAGAGCCGAGCAGUGUGGCGAAGAGGAUUGAUUUUGAUGAUCCAUCAGCAGCUUAGGAUGUUAUAGAUAGUUUUGGGAUGCUUACAUGUCUAGUUGGCAUGUAUAUUUUGUAUAUGGACAUACAUUCACGUAUUUAGACAUACAUUUUGUUUCAA